rnacentral:rRNA from 1 species
GGGAGGUAGUGACAAUAAAUAACAAUACGGGGUCCUUUGGGUCUCGUAAUUGGAAUGAGUACAAUUUAAAUCUCUUAACGAGGAACAAUUGGAGGGCAAGUCUGGUGCCAGCAGCCGCGGCAAUUCCAGCUCCAAUAGCGUAUAUUAAAGUUGUUGCAGUUAAAAAGCUCGUAGUUGAAUUUCGGGAUCAAUACGUCGGUCGUGCCUUCGGUACGCACUGGCGUCGUUGAUUUCUCCCUUCUGAUGAACCAUGAUGUCAUUAAUUUGGUGUUAUGGGGAGUUAGGACUGUUACUUUGAAAAAUUAGAGUGUUUAAAGCAGGCAUUAGCUUGAAUACAUUAGCAUGGAAUAAUGAAAUAGGACGUUCGAUCCUAUUUUGUUGGUUUCUAGGAUCAACGUAAUGAUUAAUAGGGAUAGUUGGG